rnacentral:rRNA from 1 species
UACGUAGGGUGCGAGCGUUGUCCGGAAUUACUGGGCGUAAAGAGUUCGUAGGCGGUUUGUCGCGUCGUUUGUGAAAACCCGGGGCUCAACUUCGGGCUUGCAGGCGAUACGGGCAGACUUGAGUGUUUCAGGGGAGACUGGAAUUCCUGGUGUAGCGGUGAAAUGCGCAGAUAUCAGGAAGAACACCCGUGGCGAAGGCGGCUCUCUGGAACGCAACUGACGCUGAGACGCGAAAGCGUGGGGAGCAAACAGG